rfam:Acyrthosiphon pisum strain LSR1 Contig23647, whole genome shotgun sequence.
AAGAUCAUACUUCACAGGAUCAUUUCUGUAGUAUGCAUCGUCCCCUCCAGGUGCAAAUCUGGAGUCGUCAUUGGCCACGAUGAUGAGACAUCGUCCAUGUGCCGGAGCGUGAGACGGCUGGUGGUCUACUGCUCAACGCAGCCCGACUAUUCAGCGACGAUGAUCGCAACUAGCUCUUGAGCUAGGAGGUACGUGGACAGUCUGAGUGGU